rnacentral:rRNA from 1 species
UACGAAGGGGGCGAGCGUCGUUCGGAUUUACUGGGCGUAAAGGGCGCGUAGGCGGCGGGUCAAGUCGAGUGUGAAAGCCCCGGGCUCAACCUGGGAAUUGCGCUCGAGACUGGACUGCUUGAGUUCGGGAGAGGAGCGUGGAAUUCCCAGUGUAGAGGUGAAAUUCGUAGAUAUUAGGAAGAACACCAGUGGCGAAGGCGGCUCACUGGCCCGGUACUGACG